rnacentral:rRNA from 1 species
AGUGAACGCUGGCGGUAGGCCUAACACAUGCAAGUCGAACGGCAGCACAGUAAGAGCUUGCUCUUACGGGUGGCGAGUGGCGGACGGGUGAGGAAUACAUCGGAAUCUACUUUUUCGUGGGGGAUAACGUAGGGAAACUUACGCUAAUACCGCAUACGACCUACGGGUGAAAGCAGGGGAUCUUCGGACCUUGCGCGAUUGAAUGAGCCGAUGUCGGAUUAGCUAGUUGGCGGGGUAAAGGCCCACCAAGGCGGCGAUCCGUAGCUGGUCUGAGAGGAUGAUCAGCCACACUGGAACUGAGACACGGUCCAGACUCCUACGGGAGGAAGCAGUGGGGAAUAUUGGACAAUGGGCGCAAGCCUGAUCCAGCCAUACCGCGUGGGUGAAGAAGGCCUUCGGGUUGUAAAGCCCUUUUGUUGGGAAAGAAAAGCAGCAGGUUAAUACCCCGCUGUUCUGACGGUACCCAAAGAAUAAGCACCGGCUAACUUCGUG